UGCCAGCCGCCGCGGUAAUACGGAGGGUGCAAGCGUUAAUCGGAAUUACUAGGCGUAAAGCGUGUGUAGGCGGUCUGCUAAGUCGGAUGUGAAAGCCCCGGGCUUAACCUGGGAAUUGCAUUCGAUACUGGUAGACUUGAAUUUGGUAGAGGAAAGUGGAAUUCCGGGUGUAGCGGUGAAAUGCGUAGAUAUCCGGAGGAACAUCAGUGGCGAAGGCGGCUUUCUGGACCAUUUCUGACGCUGAGGUGCGAAAGCUAGGGUAGCGAACGGGAUUAGAUA
rnacentral:rRNA from 1 species